rfam:Fomitiporia mediterranea MF3/22 unplaced genomic scaffold FOMMEscaffold_8, whole genome shotgun sequence.
GCCCGCGUAGUUUAAUGGCUAUGACGUCAGACUUCUACGUGUAGUGUAAUCUGAAGGUUGCGGGUUCGAGUCCCGCCGUGGGUA